AUUGAACGCUGGCGGCAGGCCUAACACAUGCAAGUCGAGCGGGGUUUUCGGACCUAGCGGCGGACGGGCGAGUAAUGCGUAGGAAGCUGCCCGAUAGAGGGGGAUACCAGUUGGAAACGACUGUUAAUACCGCAUAAUGUCUACGGACCAAAGUGUGGGACCUUCGGGCCACAUGCUAUCGGAUGCGCCUACGUGGGAUUAGCUAGUUGGUGAGGUAAUGGCUCACCAAGGCGACGAUCUCUAGCUGGUUUGAGAGGAUGAUCAGCCACACUGGAACUGAGACACGGUCCAGACUCCUACGGGAGGCAGCAGUGGGGAAUAUUGGAAAAUGGGCGCAAGCCUGAUCCAGCCAUGCCGCGUGUGUGAAGAAGGCCUUCGGGUUGUAAAGCACUUUCAGCGAGGAGGAAGGGGUGUGUGUUAAUAGUACACACCUUUGACGUUACUCGCAGAAGAAGCACCGGCUAACUCUGUGCCAGCAGCCGCCGCAGUAA
rnacentral:rRNA from 1 species